rnacentral:rRNA from 1 species
UAGUCCACGCCGUAAACGAUGUCUACUAGUCGUUGGGAAUCUUAGUAUUCUUGGUGACGAAGUUAACGCGAUAAGUAGACCGCCUGGGGAGUACGGCCGCAAGGUUAAAACUCAAAUGAAUUGACGGGGGCCCGCACAAGCGGUGGAGCAUGUGGUUUAAUUCGAUGCAACGCGAAGAACCUUACCAGAGCUUGACAUGGUCACAAAUUUUUGCGAGAGCAAAAAGUGCCUUCGGGAAUGUGAACACAGGUGGUGCAAUGGCUGUCGUCAGCUCGUGUCGUGAGAUGUUGGGUUAAGUCCCGCAACGAGCGCAACCCUUGUCUUUAGUUGCCAUCAUUAAGUUGGGCACUUUAAAGAGACUGCCGGUGACAAACCGGNGGAAGGUAAGGAUGACGUCAAGUCAGCAUGCCCCUUAUGCUCUGGGCUACACACGUGCUACAAUGGCCGUGCAAAGAGUUGCUACUUUGUGAAAACAAGCUAAUCUCAUAAACGCGGCCUCAGUUCGGAUUGC